UACGGAGGGAGCUAGCGUUAUUCGGAAUUACUGGGCGUAAAGCGCACGUAGGCGGCUUGAUAAGUAAGAGGUGAAAGCCUGGAGCUCAACUCCAGAACUGCCUUUUAGACUGUCUCGCUUGAAUCCAGGAGAGGUGAGUGGAAUUCCGAGUGUAGAGGUGAAAUUCGUAGAUAUUCGGAAGAACACCAGUGGCGAAGGCGGCUCACUGGACUGGUAUUGACGCUGAGGUGCGAAAGCCAGGGGAGCAAACGGG
rnacentral:rRNA from 1 species